UUUGUAGCUCAGUCGGUAGAGCGUCAGUCUCAUAAUCCC
rnacentral:tRNA from 1 species